ACAGACCUGCAGAUCUUCUGUGUUUCCUGUGGGCACCCCAUCAACCCACGUGUUGCCUUGCGCCACAUGGAGCGCUGCUACGCCAAGGUUGGGGUGUCAGACUGAGGGGGCGGACCAUGUGGGAACAUCAGUGGGCCAGUGGGGGACAGAUUUGUUGUCUGGGUGGUGUCUUGGGAGGGCAUGCAGCGCACAUCCACAGUUCCCUCCAUUUGUGCUCAUCCCUCCAGUAUGAGAGCCAGACGUCCUUUGGGUCCAUGUACCCCACACGCAUUGAAGGGGCCACACGACUCUUCUGUGAUGUGUAUAAUCCUCAGAGCAAAACAUACUGUAAGCGGCUCCAGGUGCUGUGCCCCGAGCACUCACGGGACCCCAAAGUGCCAGCUGACGAGGUAUGCGGGUGCCCCCUUGUACGUGAUGUCUUUGAGCUCACGGGUGACUUCUGCCGCCUGCCCAAGCGCCAGUGCAAUCGCCAUU
rnacentral:ncRNA from 2 species